rnacentral:rRNA from 1 species
AUUGAACGCUGGCGGCAUGCCUAACACAUGCAAGUCGAACGGAAACGAUGGGAGCUUGCUCCCAGGCGUCGAGUGGCGGACGGGUGAGUAAUACUUAGGAAUCUGCCCAUUAGUGGGGGACAACUCGAAGGAAACUCGAGCUAAUACCGCAUACGCCCUACGGGGGAAAGCGGGGGAUCUUCGGACCUCGCGCUAAUGGAUGAGCCUACGUCGGAUUAGCUUGUUGGUGAGGUAAAGGCUCACCAAGGCGACGAUCCGUAGCUGGUCUGAGAGGACGAUCAGCCACACUGGGACGUGAGACACGGCCCAGACUCCUACGGGAGGCAGCAGUGGGGAAUAUUGCACAAUGGGCGCAAGCCUGAUGCAGCAAUGCCGCGUGUGUGAAGAAGGCCUGCGGGUUGUAAAGCACUUUCAGUAGAGAAGAAAAGCCUACGGUUAAUACCCGUGAGUCUUGACGUUACCUACAGAAGAAGCUCCGCUAAC